GACGAACGCUGGCGGCGUGCUUAACACAUGCAAGUCGUACGGUAAGGCCCUUUCGGGGGUACACGAGUGGCGAACGGGUGAGUAACACGUGAGUAACCUGCCCACAACUUUGGGAUAACGCUAGGAAACUGGUGCUAAUACUGGAUAUGUGCUCCUGCUGCAUGGUGGGGGUUGGAAAGCUCCGGCGGUUGUGGAUGGACUCGCGGCCUAUCAGCUUGUUGGUGGGGUAGUGGCCUACCAAGGCGGCGACGGGUAGCCGGCCUGAGAGGGUGACCGGCCACAUUGGGACUGAGAUACGGCCCAGACUCCUACGGGAGGCAGCAGUGGGGAAUAUUGCACAAUGGGCACAAGCCUGAUGCAGCAACGCCGCGGGCGGGAUGACGGCCUUCGGGUUGUAAACCGCUUUCAGCAGGGACGAAGCUUUUUGUGACGGUACCUGCAGAAGAAGCACUGGCUAACUACGUG
rnacentral:rRNA from 1 species